rfam:Burkholderiales bacterium RIFCSPLOWO2_12_FTLL_65_40 rifcsplowo2_12_scaffold_137, whole genome shotgun sequence.
CCUCUUCGAUCUGCUGCGGGCAGAUGAAGUGGAUGUGGCUGUCGAUGCCGCCGGCGGUGACGAUAUGGCCCUCGCAGCUGAUGACCUCGGUGCCGGGGCCGAUGACGAUGUCCACGCCGGGUUGCGUGUCGGGGUUGCCCGCCUUGCCUAUUGAAGCGAUGCGCCCGCUACGCAGGCCGAUGUCGGCCUUGAAGAUGCCGGUGUGGUCGAUGACCAGGGCAUUGGUCAGCACCGUGUCCACGGCCCCUUCGGUGCGCGUGCGCUGGCUUUGCGCCAUGCCGUCGCGGAUG